UCUGUGUGCUGCCGUUUAUGCGCUAUCUGUAGAAUGUGAAGGAUCCCUCACCGAGUAGUUCGCUGGUCUUUCUCUGGUUGGGGGGUCUCAGGUUCUUUUGUGAUGUUGAAAGAACUUUUUUUUUUGUCGAUUUAUGGAGGUGUUUGCAUUCAGCAACAACCAACCAGCCCUUAACUUUCCCGAUGAUGUAUUGAGCGGUGUUGCUGAACCUUUUAGUUGAAGGUAACAUACUUAUGAUAAUUCUAUGGGAUGUAUGAUUGAAGCUUUACAAUCAUUUACAUCAGCCUGAUGAUGAGCACUCAUUGAAGAGAUCUUUGAUUUUUCAUUAUUAGCCUCCAUCUCGACACCUGCUUACCAUUUACUUGCUGCUGCCACUACUGCUGCUUCUUCUUCUUCUUCUUCUACUCCUACUCCUGUCGCUGUUAUUAUUGUUAUUAUUAUUAAUAUUAUUAUUAUCAGGUUUUGGUACAGAUGGUGGUGGUUAUUGUUCUUUACAUAACCAUUUGAGAUGUUGAAUGGCUUUCAAUGAGAAUCAUAAGCUUCUUCUAGCUCUGAGAUCUGAGGGUUUGAGCUCAAUGCUUUUUUUCUUUAACCCUGAUGCAUUGUAUUUUUCAAGUUCUAGUUGAAGAGAUUAUUAAAAUCUCUAGUAUUCACUUCCCUACCUGAGCACUUGGGAGUUACUCAUAGGUUUGUUGAAUAUAGCCCAUGGGUUUGGCCUGAUGGAUUCAAUUCAGAUCCAUACGCCUCACCCAUUUUGCCCGAUGAUGGAUAACUUAUUGAGUAUUGAACGGUCGCAUGGUUUUAUUCAUGUUGGGCUUUUCGCACCAUCAGUGUCAUGUCUGUAUAUAUAUGUAUCUAUAUAUAUAUGAGUGUCAUGUUUGUAUAUAUAUGUAUUAUAUAUAUGCAUGCGUUUGUUAGGUGUGAGUUUCUUAUUAAUUGUGUGGGAUCAUGCAAAUUACUUGGGUAACCAAAAGAAUAUUUUGAUGCCUGCUUUUUUGUGGUACUGGGCAUAUAUGAAUUAAUGCAUGUAACUUGUUCCACCAAAGUUUUUCAGAUCAUUAAUGUACCAUUAUUUGAAUAUUCUGAUUUA